CCAAACCAACCCAACCAAAACAAAAGCUUUACUUGAACAUCUGGGGCCCCUAGCCAACUGUCUGAGCCUCCCUUUCUCCCUUCGUGGAGCUUCUGUGUGUAGAUGGCUUGGGCCUUUGCAUAGCAGGGUGACCUCCGUGUGGUUGGACUUCUUUCCCACGCACAGCUUCCCAGUCAGAGACAAAGGGUAUCACUGCCUGUGCACUGAAUGUGUGGCACCGGAAAUGCCAGAGCAUUGUUUCCUGUAUGCUCCGCUUUCAACUUCGUUCUGUUGCUCAAAGCACAUCUCAAGGCCAGCCUGGUUAAGACAGGAAGUGUCGUCUACUUCCGGGUGGGAAGACUGAUAUAUCUAAAUGGAGAGAGGUGUGUUAAUAGUGGCCUUCCUAGACUUCCUGUGCAGGGGCAAGGGAGGGCAUGGAUGAAGGAUGACCAGUCUGUGUCUCUGGAAGGUUGAUACAAACAUCAGACCUAGGUUUUUGCAUCAUAUCUGAAAUCAGAAAGGAGACUUCUUUUCAGACCCCCGAUUCAUCAUUAGUAACUCAGAGAGAAGAGUGUUCGAGUAAAGGGCUGGGCCUUGGACCCCCUUCCAUUUCCAAGUGGUAUGGAUUAAGCACGUACGUCAUGGAGACGCUUGAGUUGAGGGUCCAAUUUUCUCUGGGAAUCCACAGAGAUCAGGGGGAACUCAGCUGGGUGCUGAAUGGUGACAGUGGGCACUCAGCCUGGGUCUGCCUGGGUACAUCACUGAGUCCUGACCAAACGAAGAGCCCAGCCAAGGCAUUCCCUAACACUCACAGGAAGGACGCACAAGGGUGUGGAGGACACGGCAUCAACUCCAGGUACUCGUCUUCCAACUCUCCCAACUCUGCCCUAUGAAGUCACAAAAGUGUGCAUCCCUCUCACCCAAGAAAUAACCAGCGGUGAUCUUUGAGGGGUAGUGGGUGCAGGACAGACAGCGUGGGGAGCUGAAACACCCGAAGGGCUGAGAACACCCCCUCCCGAGGAAGCCGAUAAAACUAUUAGGGAGGCUGAGAACAUCCUUGAAGGGCUGAAGAUGCUCUGGAGGACCCGAGAGCACUGAGAGCAAUCCUGGGGGAGGGGAUGAGGACAGUUGUGAGGAGCUGAGAACACUCCUGAGUGGUUGAGAACACUCCUGAGAGAGGUGAGGACCCUCCUGAGUGGCUGAGAACACUUGUGAGGGUCUGAGAACACUCCUGAGAGGGACAAGGACACUUGUGAGGAGCCGGGAACAUUCUCAAGGGCCUGAGAACACUCCAGAAGGGCUGGAAUACUCUUGAGGGGGAAUGGGAACUGUUGAAGGCUCAGAAACACUCUUGAAGAGGCUGAGAACAUACUCAAGAGAUGGAGACGCCUGAGGGGCUGAGGAGAGUGAUUUCAGGUCUCUUCUCUUCAUGGCUUUUCUACACCCUACUAAAAUUUACCCAGCAAGGGAGCUACGUUAUAAUGGUUGAUGGUGUAAAAAUCAAGCUGAAUGGGUUUAGUAAUCUACAAGCUGUGGAGUGUAGACAGGCUUCUAGGGGAUGGGAUGGGUAGGAGGCUCUUGGCCCCACUGUUCAGAAGAUGGGAGCAUGUAGGGCGUGUUUAGGUAGAAAGCAGAGUUUCGUCAGCAAGCGGCUUGGGUUUUGAGGUGGCAGGGAGAUGUCUGGGAGGACAUGGCCACAGUGCCUUAGAGUUUCUAUUGCUGUGAAGAGGCACCAUGGCCAAGACAACUCUUAUAAAGGAAAACCUAUAACCGGGGCUGGCUUACAGUUCACAGGUUUAGUCCAUUCACCAUGGCAGGAAGCAUGGUGGCCCACAGGCAGACAUGGUGUGCCGGGAGAGGUAGCUGAGAGUUCUACAUCUUGAUCCGCAGGCAGCAGGAAGAGAGAGAGAGACUGGGCCUGGCUUGAGCAUUUGAAACCUCAAAGCCCAGGCCCCAGAUGACACACUUCCUCUAACAGGACCACAGGGGCACACCUCCUAAUAGUGCCAUUCCCUAUGAGCCUAUGGGGGCCAUUUUCAUUCAAACCACCAUGCAUGGAAAGGGUGCAGGAGUCUGGACUCUAGCAUUGGUGCAAACGAAGCAGAAGCAGCUGAGAAGCACUAAGGGAGAGGCGAUAGGAAAGCAGAAGGGAGAAUCAGCACAUGACAGGGCUGAGGGAGGGGAGCCAUCAGAUGUCCUCAGUCUUGUGGAUACCCUGUCACUAGGCUCUGAACUCACUAGGAGGAAACACACUCUGCGGCCUCCUCCCACCCAGAUCACUCUUCUGCUUCUUCUGGUGGAAGGCAGCACUGACUGGACUUCCUCAGCCUGCCAUUCCAUCUGUCUAGGUUCACCUGCCUGUAGGCUGUCUUCUCUUUCUCGUCAGAAAUAUUGAAGGGGCAGAGAGGAGACUUCCCCAACUCUCACAGAGCCAACUGGAGUUCUUUCUGAGAACCCAAGAGGCCCAGUAACUCCCUGGGCUGUUUCCCUUAAGGUCAGACUUGAUGAGGGUUCGGAGCCUUCUCUGACAUACGGCCUGGGCCUCCCAGGUCAGAGGCCUCUUUCUCCUGAAGAGUCUAUCGGGAGAAAGGUGAGGAGAGUGAGGCGGGAGCUGUGGAGUUGCAUCCUGGAGUCUCCGUGUGCUGUGGCUUUCAGUGUCCUCACUCUGAGUGCUCACCCUGAAGUUGGUACCGGGCAUCUCUGAGCCCACUGCCCUUUUCCAUAUUCAUGCUGGCAGCCCUGUUGCAGGGGCUCAGAGUUGAAUGUCCCGGCCCUGAGAUCUUUGGAAACGUCACAUCUUCGAGUAGCUGGCACCGCACUGGUGUCUCUCUCUCCUGGGCCUCUUCUUUUGAAGAACGAAUAUAACAUUAACGAAUGACAUGAUUUCCUUUGGGUGGGUUUGCGGGCAGUAACAGCAACGUGCUCAAGCUGUUCUGAGCGGUUUGGGUUGUCAGCGACUUCAGGGGAAGUAGAUGUGAGAAGGACUGGAGGCUGCCUGCCUCUUACCUUGGUUCCUCAUUCCCAUUUACUUCAUGGUUAAAACAAACACAAGACAUUGCCAGCCUGUGUUUAUCCUUGCUGAUAUCCUAGGGAUUCUCCCUUUGACUUUUUCUCUUUGAACCAGCAAUAGAAAAGUUAUUUUGAAUCAUGUGUGUGUGUGUGUGUGUGUGUGUGUGUGAGAGAGAGAGAGAGAGAGAGAGAGAGAGAGAGAGAGACACACACACACACAGAGACAGAGAGAGAGGACAUUAAAGUGUCUUUUUUGUUUGCCUGUUUGUGUUUUUUUGAGACAGGGUUUCUCUGUGUAGCCUUGACUGUCCUGGAACUCACUCUGUAGACCAGGCUGGCCUCAAACUCACAGAGAUUCACCUGGCUCUGCCUCCCUGAGCACUGGCUUAAAGGUGUGUGCCACCACUGCCCAGCCAAAAUGUCUUUUUUAACUGGUUAUCGGCCUUUUGGGUCCUUUACUGAAGUUGGAUCCCAGCAUUUCUGUUAGACUGGCUAUCCAGGGAGCCCCUGUGAGCCACCUGCCAACACUUCCCAGCCCUGGGAUUACAGAAAUGCAUUGUCACACACGUGCUGUGUGCUCUGCGUGGGCCCUGGAGAGUCUAUCGGGAGUCUCAGGGCCUCACGCCUGCACAGCCAGUGCCUCCCCACCCCCACAGAGCCCUCUCUCCAGAACUCUUUGGUUUCCAACUUGGAUUUCAAUGUGAUGAUUGCAUUCUAAACUUGACAGAGACCUACGGGAGGCAGGUUAAGCAAUACAGCCGUGAUAAUCAAGGAAAGAAAGUUUUCACACAGAAAACACGUCAAUGAGUCACUCCAAACUGAGAUCUUAGAGUUGCUCCCAGCACGGUUCCCUCACCAGCUUGGAACUCACCAGCAUAAAUGGCAGCCUUCUGGUGUGAGAAAUGCGCCAAGGCACCCAGGAUCAAAUGCACAUUGGAGUCCUUAUCGUCUGUGGCCAACGCAAGACACUUUCAAGCAACUCAAAGGAAAAUGGACCGCUCAGUCCCCGCAAGCAACCUUCAAUAAUUCUUGCAAGAUUCCCUGUCCCAGCGAUCUGUCAAAGACUCGGGAAUAACAAGAAUAACACGAGCCGUCCUGGGUUGAGUGGGGACUGUGCACCGAGGGGUUCCCACGUGUUGACCCAGCCUGGAGAGCAGAUGACAUCAUCCCCUGAGACUGAUGGAGCAAGGCCUUACCCAGGACCUCUGCUGCCAGGUACAUCAGCGCCUAUCUGGACCCCCGCCCCACCCCAGAGGCAAGCAUCGUCUGUGUUUCCAGGCUGUCGGUGGGAGGAGCAGGACCCAGAGGCUUGCCCUCACUUUCUUCGAGGAAUGGCCAGGUGUGAGGAGCCUGCUGUGUUUCCCCGUCUGUCCAGGGUCCUCGUCUCUAAGGCCCCCCCAACUUCUUUUCCUGGGGUCCCUCAGUGCUUCGGGGCUUCAGAAGUGCCCCGCUUCUCCCCGCCCCCCCCCCCAGUCUCGGUGUUGCUAAGAAACGUAGCCUGAGGGUCCAAUCAGCAUCGAUUGGGGGCUCUCCAGGUGCUGCUAUUGGAAUCGCUGGUGCAGACUUCUGCUGUACACUAAGGUGAGAGAGUAAGCUCCCUGCUGUGAGUCUCCAAGGAGCGGGGAACCUGUCGCACUGUGUUCCCAGCUGAAUACCUGGUGACACGUGGUGGGGUUUCCUUGGAGGGAAAGGAUGCGGGAACAUGGCGAGGGAAAGUUGGGGUAACUGGAGAGGGUAGAGUGUGAGAGAGCGUUAGCAGAAGGAAGCCUUGAGGCUUCUCUGGGACACCCACCAUGGGCUCUUUUGAGGGUUACUGCCAGCACUCUGUCAAUCACUCCUUCCCGUCCCCUUUCUCCCUCAGACACAUACUCAGUUGCAGAAAAUAAAUUUUUUUGAAACUUGAACUCAAAAUGCUAGAAUGAGUAACUGGGUAUAAACUGGGUCACGAGGAAGUGACAACCAACACAGAGACUAUUUGAACUGCUGAAUCAGGCGUUUCUGCACCACGUUAUGAAAUACACAGGAAGGAAAACAAACAGAUGAUAGGAAUGGGAGGAAUCCUACAACAAUAUCUCCAUCCACAGAUUCUGGCUUAGCAUGGGCUUUAGUUUGCUGAAGGACGCUCCAAUAUUGCUCCCCAGAGAUGAAGGACUGGAAUAAAAUAGAUAGAGGAAAGACAUCUCAGCCGAGGUAGACAGCACCUGGGAUCACGUGGGCCCUGACCGUGAGCAUCCUUGGCCUGUGUGUCUUAGCUGCUCUGCUCCACCAAGCAGGCAGGUGUGCGGCAAAGCAAGGUAGCCCAAAAUAAACUCACAAAUAAAGAAUUUAAAAAUCUGCUCCAUGGGGCUGGAGAGAUGGCUCAGGGGUUAAGAGCACUGGCUGCUCUUCCAGAGGACCUGGGUUCAAUUCCCAACACCCACUUGGCAGCUCAGAGCUCUCUGUGGCUCCAGUUCCAGGGUCUCUGAUACCCUCACACAGACAUACAGGCAGGCAAAACACCAAUGCACAUAAAAUAAAAAUAAAAUUUAAACAAAUCUUAACAUUAAAAAAAAAAUCUGCUUCAUUUGUUCCCCUCAUAUAAACAAAACCCAUUUCUUUGGGUUUUACUGACCUUAUGCAUGUAUGUGUGUGCAGGGGGUGUGCAUGCCUGUGUGGCGCACAUGUAUGAGCACGAAUAUGGAAGCCAAAGGUCAAUCUUGGGUGCUGUUCCCCAGAAGCCCGCUAACCUUGUUCUCUGAGACAGGGUUUGUCUCUGGCCACAAGUUUAGGAUGGCUUCCCCACAAGCCCCAAAGAUCCUCCUGGGUCGGCCUACCACGCUGGGAUUACAAACACACACCGUCAUACCUCUGUUGGUUUUAAUUUAAAUGUGGACUUUGAGCAUCAAACUCAGGCCCUUACACGUACACAGCCAACACUUCUUAUGAGCUAUCUCCCCAGCCUAAGAUCUUAAAAACUGUAAUAAAUAGUGAGGCACAUACAUACACAUACAUACACAUACACACACACGCCAGCAUGUCAGUGGCAAUCUCUCUAGCCUUGCCAACCACCGGGUGCAGCAAGUGGGCCCGAAGGGGUGCCUGCCUGAGCAGUGGGCUACUUCGGAGGAGAUGAACCCCGAGCUAACGGAGCCCACAUCUUAUCAAUGGGCCACAGACAGGCCUAUCCUUUGUUCUGGAGGGAAAUGUUAUCUGUCUUCCAAGGUUCUGCUCAAGCCCUCCUCUUGCUUUGGAGACAUGGUAAGUUUAUCUCCCAAGGCUGAGUGCCACCCACAAAUCCUUGGAGAUACGGUCACAUGACAGGUGCUCAGAGUCUCUGGUCACAAGCGAUACAGAAAUGUGGGGUGCAGAAUCCUCGCCAAUAGUCUUCUUUUCAGGGCCUUCAGUGUAGUUUUGAUCAGAACUAUCUCACGUGUCUCCUUCAGCCAAGAGAG